CAGCCCUAAACGAUGCGCGUUAGGUGUAUCGGUGACCACGAGUCACCGAGGUGCCGAAGGGAAACCGUGAAACGUGCCGCCUGGAAGUACGGUCGCAAGGCUGAAACUUAAAGGAAUUGGCGGGGAGCACCACAACGGGUGGAGCCUGCGGUUUAAUUGGACUCAACGCCGGGAAGCUCACCGGAUAAGACAGCUGAAUGAUAGUCGGGAUGAAGACUCUACUUGACUAGCUGAGAGGAGGUGCAUGGCGUAGACGUCU
rnacentral:rRNA from 1 species